UUGGAGAAUGCCUUGACGUACUCCUUGAUCGAAUGGCCCUGCUUGAGGUCCCUCAUUUUCGCCCUUGCCUCGCGGCUUACGUGCACCGGGUAGAACUCCGCCUUGAGUUCUUUCUUUAGGGCAUCCCAACUGUCAAUGACGACUACCCCUUUGUCUAUGCCGGCUCGUUUUCUUCGCCACCAAAGUGCAGCCAUGUCGG
rnacentral:lncRNA from 1 species